rnacentral:rRNA from 1 species
GUGCCAGCAGCCGCGGUAAUACGUAGGUGGCAAGCGUUGUCCGGAAUUAUUGGGCGUAAAGCGCGCGCAGGCGGUUCCUUAAGUCUGAUGUGAAAGCCCCCGGCUCAACCGGGGAGGGUCAUUGGAAACUGGGGAACUUGAGUGCAGAAGAGAAGAGUGGAAUUCCACGUGUAGCGGUGAAAUGCGUAGAGAUGUGGAGGAACACCAGUGGCGAAGGCGACUCUUUGGUCUGUAACUGACGCUGAGGCGCGAAAGCGUGGGGAGCAAACAGGAUUAGAUACUCUGGUAGUCCACGCCGUAAACGAUGAGUGCUAAGUGUUAGAGGGUUUCCGCCCUUUAGUGCUGCAGCAAACGCAUUAAGCACUCCGCCUGGGGAGUACGGCCGCAAGGCUGAAACUCAAAGGAAUUGACGG